rnacentral:rRNA from 1 species
AUGGAGAGAGGGAGAGCAAUGCCGCGCGGGCGUCGUGGCAGGGGGAGGGGGAGGGGCAGGGGCAGGGCUCGGACCCCCGUCGCCGACGGCGGCAACCGCGGGGAGGCGAGCAAGGCGGGGCUGGCGAACAAGGCGAAGGAGCUCGCAGGGGCGGGCCAGGAGGACGCGAACGGCGAGGCGCACGACUGGGUAGAGGUGCCGGUGGUGUGGAGGCAGCCGCGGGGCGCCGCCGACGACGACGACGCUGCGCGGAUGAAGCAGCUGGUGGAGGAUCCCAAGGAGAAGACCGCGGCGGCCGACGACGCGGCUGCGCGGAUGGAGCAGGCGGUGGAGAAGCCCGUGCCCACCGCCCCGUUCGACCCCGGGCUGAUCGAGCACAUCAACGUUGGCGGGUACGUGAUGGAGCGCGACGCCUACGACUUCAUCCGGUACGACCUCGGGAUGCCCCCGCCCAGCCUCGAGCCCGAGCCGCGGCGGCUGUGGUCGUGGGACGACUCCUCCUUCCCGAGAGCGCGCCGCCGCCACCGCCACCGCCGCCCAAGUGAGCCGCCUACGUCUCUGUGCUGGCCGUAG